rnacentral:rRNA from 1 species
UACGUAGGGGGGCUAGCGUUGUCCGGAUUUAUUGGGCGUAAAGAGCGUGUAGGCGGCCAGGUAGGUCUGCUGUGAAAACUCGAGGCUCAACCUCGAGACGUCGGUUGAAACCGUAUGGCUAGAGUCCGGAAGAGGAAAGUGGAAUUCCGCGUGUAGUGGUGAAAUGCGUAGAGAUGCGGAGGAACACCAGUGGCGAAAGCGACUUUCUGGUCCUUAACUGACGCUGAGGCGCGAAAGCAUGGGGAGCGAACGGG